rnacentral:rRNA from 1 species
ACAUGUGGCUAUACCUUCUUGAAAGUGUCUGACCUCACCUCAUCUCAGAAGAUAAGCAAAGUCAGGCUAGGAUAACAUGUGGAGAAGAGAUUGCCUGGGAAUAUUUGGUGCUGCAUCUA